rnacentral:rRNA from 1 species
CUGACCGAGGAUGAGCCCGCGGCCGAUUAGCUAGUUGGUGGGGUAAUGGCCCACCAAGGCGACGAUCGGUAGCUGGUCUGAGAGGACGAUCAGCCACACUGGGACUGAGACACGGCCCAG